rfam:Zea mays cultivar B73 chromosome 10, whole genome shotgun sequence.
ACUCUAGUAUUGGCUCUAAUCCACAUGUGUUGAGGUGGAUUGUGGUGUAAAUUAGUUUAAUUUACACCCCAAUACAUCUCAAUACAUGUGGAUUAAGGCCAAUACUAGA